AGAUGUCCGGAGUUCCCCGAACCCCAAUCGUUCCUAUAGUUCAAGCCCAUACAGCAGGUACUGUAUCUUACCAGAUGUCCGGAGUUCCCCGAACCCCAAUCGUUCCUAUAGUUCAAGCCCAUACAGCAGGUACUGUAUCUUACCAGAUGUCCGGAGUUCCCCGAACCCCAAUCGUUCCUAUAGUUCAAGCCCAUACAGCAGGCAUCCGUGUUGUUUGAGAGGGAGGAGGAUGCUAAGAAGCUGGCUAGCUGUAAGAACCUGACCAUCAAAGGCCAGACCGUCACCGUACUAACGGAGAAAGAUGCUCUGCUGGACGACUCCAAGGAACUGAGCCAAACCAACAAGUCUACCGAUGAAAAACAAUAUCGUGAUGCCGGGGCUUCCUCCUGAAGUGGAUUCUAGAACCAGAAUUCCUGCGAGUCGUUGUAGCAGUAUUCCGUGAACUGUAAACCCUCCUAGUGGGAUUAAACAUUAUGCUGCAUUUCAAGCCGAUGACUCUUGAGGGAGGAGCUGAAUGGCAGUUUGAUCAUGACAUCACUUCCCCUUACAGCUUUACAAUGUUAUCCCCUGACCUUUUACAACACUGAUCGUACUGUGUUGUCUUCCUGUGUGUGUGUUUCUUUGGGAAAGGACAUUUUUUCACCAUGACCACCGGUUUUCUUAACUACAGAUUGUUACAGCAGAUAAUGUGAUUUUAACCAAAGAUCGUUGUAGCACAGAGAAUUCUUCACCAGCCUCGGUGACGCCGUCCUCGACUCAAGGAAACAGGAGUCUCAAGUGUCUCGUGUUCAGUUGCAAGGUGGUCAGUUUUUAAUUUAGAAAAUGCUCCUCCCAUUUAUUAAAAUUGUGUGUGUGUGGCAAGUGGAAUUAUGCGGUUUGCUUUCAAAAUAAAAGUAUGUUAAAUUACAGUAAUGCAAAUUAUUACAUAUAGUAGAAUUAUGCCCUACUUUUAUUUUGAAGGCUAACUGCAAAGGCCACAAUUUCUAUUUUUUUUUUCACCUUUAUUUAACCAGGUAGGCCAGUUGAGAACAAGUUCUCAUUUACUGCGACCCGAUGAAGCAAAGCAGUGUGACACAAACAACAACACAGAGUUACACACGGAGUAAACAUGCAACAUGGGAUAAACAAACGUACAGUCAAUAACACAACAGGGGGAAAAAAAAGUCUAUAUACAGUUUGUGCAAAUGGCACGGGGAGGUAAGGCAAUAAAUAGGCCAUGGUAGAGAAGUAAUUACAAUUUAGUAAAUUUACACAGGAGUGAUAAAUGUGCAGGUCUUCCCUCAAUGGAGAUAUAAGACUUAAGAAAUAGAUGAUAUGUGUGUGUGUGUGUGUGAAAUAUCUUUGGGUUAAAAUCACAUUGUUGCACCAGAGAAAUCUGUAGCUAUAGUUUUCUGCACUUGUCUCUCUACACCUGAGACGCCCUGAACUGUACUAGACUAAUGUUAGACCGGUCAUAAAUGUUUUUUUGUUGGUUUACCAUAGACCGGUCAUAAAUGUUUUUGUUGUUGUUUUACCAUAGAACAUCCUUGUUGAAUUUCCCAGUUCUCUUUGAGUCAGAAUUAAAUAGUGUACAAUCCCCUGUAUUUUAGAUUUGGGACGAAUAAACCUUGGAAUAUGUGAA